rnacentral:rRNA from 1 species
GCUAAUGUGGUUUUAUAUUAGGUAGUUUCUGCCCAAUGUGUUUGUAAAUGGCCGCGGUACUUUGACCGUGCAAAGGUAGCAUAAUCAUUUGCCCUUUAAUUGGUGGCUUGUAUGAAAGAAAGAAUAAAAGUCCGGCUGUCUUUUUAGUAAAAUGUAAAUUGCUGUUGUUAUGAAGAAGUAACAGUGAAAAAAAAAGACAAGAAGACCCUAAUAAGCUUUACUUAUAAUUUUUGUUUUUUUUUCUUAGAAAGAACAAAAAAACAAAAAUUAUUGGGUUUGGUUGGGGUGACUGGAAAGGAACGGAANCCUUUCUCUAANUUUAUUAUUUUAAUUUUAAUAANGAUCCGAGNUUUUUGAUUGAUAGAAUAAGUUACUAUAGGGAUAACAGCGUAAUUUUUUCGGAGAGUUCUUAUUUAUGAAAAAGUUUGCGACCUCGAUGUUGACUUGUUNUUAUUUCCUUAAAAGGUGUAGAAGCUGUGAGGGUUAGUCUGUUCGACUAUUAA